CCUACGGGGGGCAGCAGUGGGGAAUAUUGGACAAUGGGGGGAACCCUGAUCCAGCCAUGCCGCGUGUGUGAAGAAGGCCCUCGGGUUGUAAAGCACUUUCAGUGAGGAAGAACGCCUGGUGGUUAAUACCCAUCAGGAAAGACAUCACUCACAGAAGAAGCACCGGCUAACUCCGUGCCAGCAGCCGCGGUAAUACGGAGGGUGCGAGCGUUAAUCGGAAUUACUGGGCGUAAAGCGCGCGUAGGUGGCUUGAUAAGCCGGUUGUGAAAGCCCCGGGCUCAACCUGGGAACGGCAUCCGGAACUGUCAAGCUAGAGUGCAGGAGAGGAAGGUAGAAUUCCCGGUGUAGCGGUGAAAUGCGUAGAGAUCGGGAGGAAUACCAGUGGCGAAGGCGGCCUUCUGGACUGACACUGACACUGAGGUGCGAAAGCGUGGGUAGCAAACAGGAUUAAAUACCCCGGUAGUC
rnacentral:rRNA from 1 species